UACGUAGGGUGCGAGCGUUGUCCGGAAUUAUUGGGCGUAAAGAGCUCGUAGGCGGUUUGUUGCGUCUAUCGUGAAAACCUGCGGCUUAACUGUGGGCUUGCGGUGGAUACGGGCAGACUUGAGUUCGGUAGGGGAGACUGGAAUUCCUGGUGUAGCGGUGAAAUGCGCAGAUAUCAGGAAGAACACCUAUGGCGAAGGCAGCUCUCUGGGACGGUACUGACGCUGAGACGCGAAAGCGUGGGGAGCGAACAGG
rnacentral:rRNA from 1 species